rnacentral:rRNA from 1 species
GAUGAACGCUGGCGGCGUGCCUAAUACAUGCAAGUCGAGCGAACAGACGAGGAGCUUGCUCCUCUGACGUUAGCGGCGGACGGGUGAGUAACACGUGGAUAACCUACCUAUAAGACUGGGAUAACUUCGGGAAACCGGAGCUAAUACCGGAUAAUAUAUUGAACCGCAUGGUUCAAUAGUGAAAGACGGUUUUGCUGUCACUUAUAGAUGGAUCCGCGCCGCAUUAGCUAGUUGGUAAGGUAACGGCUUACCAAGGCAACGAGGCGUAGCCGACCUGAGGGGGUGAUCGGCCACACUGGAACGGAAACACGGUCCAGACUCCUACGGGAGGCAGCGGUAGGGAAUCUUCCGCAAGGGGCGAAAGCCUAACGGAGCAACGCCGCGUGAGGGAUGAAGGUCUUCGGAUCGUAAAACUAUGUUAUUAGGGAAGAACAAAUGUGUAAGUAACUAUGCACGUCUUGACGGUACCUAAUCAGAAAGCCACGGCUAACUACGUG